rnacentral:rRNA from 1 species
AUUGAACGCUGGCGGAAUGCCUAACACAUGCAAGUCGAGCGGAGUAGCAAUACUCAGCGGCGGACGGGUGAGGAAUACAUAGGAAUCUGCCUUUAGGUGGGGGAUAGCCAGGGGAAACUCUGGGUAAUACCGCAUGAUCUCGUGAGAGCAAAGGGGCGCAAGUCUCGCCUUUAGAGGAGCCUAUGUCUGAUUAGCUAGUUGGCGGUGUAAUGGACCACCAAGGCAAUGAUCAGUAACUGGUCUGAGAGGACGAUCAGUCACACCGGAACUGAGACACGGUCCGGACUCCUACGGGAGGCAGCAGUGGGGAAUAUUGGACAAUGGGCGAAAGCCUGAUCCAGCAAUUCCGCGUGUGUGAAGAAGGCCUUCGGGUUGUAAAGCACUUUAGUUGGGGAAGAAACAGCUUGGCCACACCAAGCCUUGACGGUACCCAAAGAAUAAGCACCGGCUAACUCUGUGCCAGCCGCCGCAGUAAGAC